GAUGAACGCUGGCGGCGUGCCUAAUACAUGCAAGUCGAGCGAACAGACGAGGAGCUUGCUCCUCUGACGUUAGCGGCGGACGGGUGAGUAACACGUGGAUAACCUACCUAUAAGACUGGGAUAACUCCGGGAAACCGGAGCUAAUACCGGAUAAUAUAUUGAACCGCAUGGUUCAAUAAUGAAAGACGGUUUUGCUGUCACUUAUAGAUGGAUCCGCGCCGCAUUAGCUAGUUGGUAAGGUAACGGCUUACCAAGGCAACGAUGCGUAGCCGACCUGAGAGAGUGAUCGGCCACACUGGAACUGAGACACGGUCCAGACUCCUACGGGAGGCAGCAGUAGGGAAUCUUCCGCAAUGGGCGAAAGCCUGACGGAGCAACGCCGCGUGAGUGAUGAAGGUCUUCGGAUCGUAAAACUCUGUUAUUAGGGAAGAACAAAUGUGUAAGUAACUAUGCACGUCUUGACGGUACCUAAUCAGAAAGCCACGGCUAACUACGUG
rnacentral:rRNA from 1 species